GAUGAACGCUGGCGGCGUGCCUAAUACAUGCAAGUCGAGCGAACAGACGAGGAGCUUGUUUCUCUGACGUUAGCGGCGGACGGGUGAGUAACACGUGGAUAACCUACCUAUAAGACUGGGAUAACUUCGGGAAACCGGAGCUAAUACCGGAUAAUAUAUUUAACCGCAUGGUUCAAUAGUGAAAGACGGUUUUGCUGUCACCUAUAGAUGGAUCCGCGCCGCAUUACUUAGUUGGUAAGGUAACGGCUUACCAAGGCAACGAUGCGUAGCCGACCUGAGAGGGUGAUCGGCAACACUGGAACUGAGACACGGUCCAGACUCCUACGGGAGGAACAAGAAGGGAAUCUUCGGAAAUGGGCGAAGGCCUGACGGAGCAACGCCGCGUGAGUGAUGAAGGUCUUCGGAUCGUAAAACUCUGUUGUUGGGGAAGAACAAAUGUGUAAGUAACUAUGCACGUCUUGACGGUACCUAAUCAGAAAGCCACGGCUAACUACGUG
rnacentral:rRNA from 1 species